rnacentral:rRNA from 1 species
UACGUACCGUACGAACGUUAUUCGGAAUUACUGGGCGUAAAGGGCUCGUAGGCGGCCAACUAAGUCACACGUGAAAUCCCCAGGCUUAACCUGGGAACUGCGUGUGAUACUGGAUGGCUUGAAUUCGGGAGAGGGAUGCAGAAUUCCAGGUGUAGCGGUGAAAUGCGUAGAUAUCUGGAGGAAUACCGGUGGCGAAGGCGGCAUCCUGGACGAUGACUGACGCUGAGACGCGAAAGCGUGGGGAGCAAACAGG